AGUUCCUUCACUCAGCAGUGUCUCUGGAGCAUGGUGGGCUGCACACUCUUCCCUAAGGGUGAGCAAAGCAGCAGCCUACAGAUCACAGAGUGACGGAAUCAUCAGGGCUGGAAAAGCCUUCUAAAAUCAUCAAACAGAACUGUUAAUGUAACACUGCCAAACUCACCCCAAACCCUCCUCCAGGACCAUGUUACAUAGUUUUUAUUCAAGGCCAGGUUGGAUGUUGCUUGGAGCAACCUGGUCUAUAGAAUGUGUCCCUGGCCAUGGCAGAGAAUGGAACAAAAUGAGUUUAAGGUCCCUUCCAUCCCAAACCAGUCUGUGAUUCUAUGAUCCUACCAGAGAACACAAUUGCAAAUUGCUCAGAGGAAAGAUACAGUUGAAGCAAGCCUGUGAUAUCGUGGGGUUGAUUAACCCUAUUAACCCGUGUUUUAGACUCUCUGACUGCAACAAAGUGACUUUACGUCUUAAUUAGCAUGGAGGGGAGAGUACCCACAUGGAGACCAAACCCAGGCGCUGCAGUUAUUCCAACUGCUUAGUUUUGGUGCCAGAACCCCUCCGGGGGUGGCAGAGCAGUGCACAUCCCUGGGUGGGUCCCACACAGCAAGCAAGAGGGAUGCUGCAGGAAUUACUCCAUACCUGGAUGUUAGAAGCAAGGAUGGGUGAGCAUGGCCAGCAGGCAGCCCCAGAGGUGGGAAUGAGGAACUGAAAUGGGGCUGAAGGCACCAGCAUCCCCAAAUGCCUUUAUGAGCACCUCAAAACCAAGGUGGGAGCACCCAGAUCUGCUCUGGUGCUGCCCAAAGAGGUGAGGGGUAGGAGGAGGAAACACACACUGCCUACAUGCUGUGACCACAGCAGGGUCAUUCCACCAAAAAUCAGGUCUUUUCUCAAACCAGAAGAGUUUCAGUGUGCCCCAGGAGCUGCAGCAAACUGAGGAAGAGGAGGGAAGCCAAGCUGCCUGUGCCUCCUCCCAGUACCGGGACUCAGGGCAGAAGUUAGGAUGCUUCAAAUCCCAACAGCUGCAGUGUGUCUCCAGGAUCUGAGAAACCAGACCAAGCAAUUGAAAAGGAAUCCAGUUGUUUAAGCUUAGGCUGGGAUUGUGUUUGUAUUUGUUUUGCUUGUAACCUUUCGUUUCCAGCCUUCCAGCUAAAAGCCUGACCUUACGUCUUGCUUAAUAAACCUUUGGAAAAAGCUUUA